rnacentral:rRNA from 1 species
GACGAACGCUGGCGGCGUGCUUAACACAUGCAAGUCGAACGGAAAGGCCCUGCUCUUGUGGGGUGCUCGAGUGGCGAACGGGGGAGUAACACGUGAGUAACCUGCCCUUGACUUUGGGAUAACUUCAGGAAAAUGGGGCUAAUACCGCAUAGGAGCUCCUGCUGCAUGGGGGGGGUUGGAAAGAUUCGGCGGUUGGGGCUGGACUCGCGGCUUAUCAGCUUGUUGGUGGGGUAGUGGCUUACCAAGGCUUUGACGGGUAGCCGGCCUGGGAGGGUGACCGGGCACAUUGGGACUGAGAUACGGCCCAGACGCCUACGGGAGGCAGCAGUGGGGAGUAUUGCGCAAUGGGCGGAAGCCUGAUGCAGCGGCGCCGCGUGCGGGAUGCCGGCCUUCGGGUUGUAAACCGCUUUCGCCUGUGACGAAGCGUGAGUGACGGUAAUGGGUAAAAAAGCACCGGCUAACUACGUG